rnacentral:rRNA from 1 species
ACACAUGCAAGUCGAGGGGCAGCGCGGGAUAGCAAUAUCCUGGCGGCGACCGGCGGAAGGGUGCGUAACGCGUGAGCGACAUGCCCGUUGCCCGGGGACAACCGGUGGAAACGCCGACUAAUCCCCGAUGGGAUAUUGUGCCGCAUGGCACGAUAUUGAAAGUUACGGCGGCGACGGAUUGGCUCGCGUCCGAUUAGCUUGUUGGCGGGGUAACGGCCCACCAAGGCUACGAUCGGUAGGGGUUCUGAGAGGAAGGCCCCCCACAAUGGGACUGAGACACGGCCCAUACUCCUACGGGAGGCAGCAGUGAGGAAUAUUGGUCAAUGGGCGGAAGCCUGAACCAGCCAUGCCGCGUGCGGGAAGGAGGCCCUAUGGGCUGUGAACCGCUUUUGCCUGGGGGCAAUAAGGGCGUCGCGCACGCCCGAUGAGAGUACCAGGCGAAUAAGCAUCGGCUAACUCCGUGCCAGCAGCCGCGGUAAUACGGGGGAUGCGAGCGUUAUCCGGAUUCAUUGGGUUUAAAGGGUGCGUAGGCUGUGCGUCAAGUCGGGGGUGAAAUUCCGGUGCUCAACACCGGGGCUGCCCUUGAUACUGUCGCGCUGGAGUGCGGAUGCCGCCGGAGGAAUGAGUGGUGUAGCGGUGAAAUGCUUAGAUAUCACUCAGAACACCGAUUGCGAAGGCAUCUGGCGAAUCCGUAACUGACGCUGAGGCACGAAAGCGUGGGGAUAGAACAGGAUUAGAUACCCUGGUAUUCCACGCCGUAAACGAUGAUGGCUAACCGCCGGCGACACACUGUCGGUGGCCAAGCGAAGGCGAUAAGCCAUCCACCUGGGGAGUACGUCGGCAACGAUGAAACUCAAAGGAAUUGACGGGGGCCCGCACAAGCGGAGGAACAUGUGGUUU